rnacentral:rRNA from 1 species
GUAAAUUACAUAUAAGACAUAGGAAAUCAUCAUUGAUUGUAUUAAUUAUAAAUCAAGAGCAAAGCUUACAACCAAGUCUUGAUGUUGCAAGCCUUCUUGGAGAGUCUAGCCAGUAUGUUUCUCCAAGCAUCCACUCUUCUAGGAUGGGUCUCCCAACAUACGAUAUCUCUCUCUCACUCAUACACUUUAAUACAAAGUUAAGGGCACUCCACAACCUCUCACAAGCUAUUAACAAUCCCACACUUGUCACACUCACACUAACUAUCUAUCAAACUCAAAAGCACUAGCUGCAUUACCCAACCAAAAGAACUAGUAACUCAGGAACUAGUAGAUCAUAGCAAAGGUGAGUGCUUUUAUAGGUGAAGGAGUCUCAAUGAAAUGAGGGAGGAGGAGCUCAUACUCAAGGAAGGUAGCAAAAAAUACAGAACUACCAUUCCAGAGGGGGAAGGGUGACCCAAAUUGACCCAACAACUAGGUCUAGAGACAUCCAGAAGGCUGAUCGUUGGAACAAAUUUCCCUAAUCUGGAUCGUCGCUAGCCGUAAACUAAGUCUCCACGAUGACAUCGCUAGGAGGCAAUGCACACAUACCCAUCUUCGCUAUAUAUAGCUCAUAACCUCACGUUGGGUAUACAAAUCCAACUAUCACGGGAAACAGAUGUACACCUGCGACGAAGUUAAGAUGAUACUAUUUAUAACAUGGGAUCACCACAUAUAUUAAGGGUUUAUUCGCAAUGAGGUAGAAACUUAGGGAAUGAUGGUCAAUUUGCAGCAUCAGAGAGCAUUUUAUUAAUCUUCUUAUGUCAGUGGGAAGAUAUGAACAUGUUUAUUUGACACAUGACACAACAGAGGGAUUGAGAUGAGGACAGUGACAAAUUAGUUUGUAAUAGGGUCAUUAAGAAACCUCAGGCAUAAGCUUAGGUGGAUCGGCCCCCAAUGCAGAUCUUGAUGGUAGUAGCAAAUAUUCAAAUGAGAACUAUGAAGACUAAAGUGGGGAAAGGUUCCAUGUGAACAACACCUAGACGUGGGUUAGUCGAUCCUAAGAGAUGGGGAAGCCUUGUAUCAAGAAAGAACUCUGCAUGAGCAUUGAAAUGGAAUCUGGCUAGUAUUCCUAAACUAGGACAUGGCGGCAGGUGGAAAUGUUAGGAAAUUUGGAGAUGUCGUCAGGGGCCUCGGGAAGAGUUAUCUUUUCUUUUUAACAAAUUUCCCACCCUAGAAUCAGCUCACCCAAAGAUAGAGUCCAACAGCUAGAAGAGAACCAUACACCUUGCAGUGUCCGAUGCACCCUCAGUAGCCCUUGACAAUCUGGAGGACUGAGUACCGUUCAUGCCCAGUCGUACUCAUAACUGCAUCAGGUCUUCAAGGUGAAUAUCCUCUGGUCAAUAAAACAAUCUAGGUAAGGGAAGUUGGCAAAACGGAUUCGUAACUUCAGUAAAAGGAUUGGCUCUUUGGGCUGGGGCUAGGAGUCGGUGUACUCAACUUAUGGGUUGUUGGAAGUCUGCCCGAGCUACUCUCGCAAAGAGGGUGGGCAGACGCGUGCCGAUUGGGCUACGGGAGUAGACUGCCCCCUACAAGGGGCUUUUUCCUAGGCAUCAAAUAGUUGACUCAGAACUGGUGUGAACAAGGGGAAUCUAUAUAUUUAAUUAAAACAAAGCAUUGCGAUGGUCCCUAUGGAUGCUAACGCAAUGUGAUUUCUGCCCAAUGCUCUGAAUGUCAAAGUGAAGAAAUCCAACCAAGCGCGGGUAAACAACAGGAGUAACUAUGAAUCUCUUAAGGUAGCCAAAUGCCUCAUCAUCUAAUUACUGACGUGAAUGAAUGGAUUAACAAGAUUCCCAUUGUACCUAUCUACUAUCUAGCGAAACCACAGCCAAGGGAACAGGCUUGGUAGAAUCAGCGGGGAAAGAACACCCUGUUGAGCUUGACUCUAAUAUGACUUUGUGAAAUGACUUGAGAGGCGUAGAACAAGUGGGAUCCAUUUUCGCCCCAAUUGAAAUACCACUACUAUUAACAUUAUUUUACUUAUUUCGUGGGGUGGAGAUGGGUUACUGCCCCUAUUUUUGGCCUUAAGGCAUGUUUAGGCGAGUCGAUUUGGGCAGAAGACAUUGUCAGGUGGGGAUUUUGGCUGGGGUGGAACAUCUUUUAAAAGAUAACGCAAUUGUCCUAAGAUGAGCUCAACGAGAAUAGAAAUUUCGUGUGGAACAAAAGGGUAAAAGAUCAUUUGAUUUUGAUUUUCAGUACGAAUACAAACUGUGAAAUCAUGGCCUAUCAAUGCUUUAGAUUUUUGAAAUUUGAAGCUAUAAGGUGUCAGAAAAGUUACCACAGGGAUAACUGGCUUGUGGCAGCCAAGAAUUCAUAGCAACGUUGCUUUUUGAUCCUUUGAUGUUGGCUCUUCCUAUCAUUGUGAAGCCGAAUUCACCAAGUGUUGGAUUGUUCACCCACCAAUAGGGAAUGUGAGCUGGGUUUAGGCUGUCGUGAGAUAGGUUAGUUUUACUGCACUGAUGAACCACACUGCUAUAGUAAUUCAACUUAGUACGAGAGGAACCGUUGAUUCAUACAAUUGGUCAUUGCGCUUGGUUGAAAAGCCAGUGGCUCGAAGCUACCAUGUGUCAAUUAUGAUUGAAUGCCUCUAAGUUAGAAUCCACGCUAGAAGUGGUGCAUGUCACUCUUCGACUGUAUCUCAACCCACAGUAGGGGCAUCACUUUGUCGCCCCCAGGGGCCCAUGUCAUUUGCAAACCAUGACCAUGAAGCAUCUUGGUCGAGGUAGCUUUGAAGUUCAAUUCCAAACUAUCAUUGAGAAGAAU